UACGGAGGGUGCAAGCGUUGUCCGGAAUCACUGGGCGUAAAGGGCGCGUAGGCGGCUCAUGAAGGCUGUGGUGAAAGUCCGGGGCUCAACCUCGGAUCGGCCGUGGCGACUCGUGGGCUGGAGCACUGUAGAGGCGGGUGGAAUUCCGGGUGUAGCGGUGGAAUGCGUAGAGAUCCGGAAGAACACCAGUGGCGAAGGCGACACGCUGGGCCGUACCUGACACUGAUGCGCGACAGCAUGGGGAGCAAACAGG
rnacentral:rRNA from 1 species